AUCUAGUAGCCGUUUGAACAUCUGUAUGGACUCUGAUAAAACCACUUCCUCAGGCAGAGAAUUCCACAUCCUGAUUGUUCUUACAGUAAAAAAACCUUUCCUUUGCCUUAGGCGAAAUCUUCUUUCUUCCAGUCUAAACUCAUGGCCUCGUGUCCUAUGUAAAGUCCGGUUUGUGAAUAAAUUUCCACACAAUGGUUUGUAUUGGCCACGAAUAUAUUUGUAUAAUGUUAUCAUAUCCCCUCUCAGGCGACGUUUUUCUAAACUAAAUAGGUUUAAAUUUGUUAACCUUUCU